GGAUAUAGUUUAAUUGGUAGAACGUCGAUUUUGCACAUCGUUAUUUUAGGUUCGAGUCCUAAUCUCUCCA
rnacentral:tRNA from 1 species